rnacentral:tRNA from 1 species
AAGUCCGGUAGUGAUUUCACGUCGAACUGCAAAUUCGAAGAAGCUGUUUACUUUGGCCCGGACU